ACGAAUAAUUUGUUCGGAUUACUUUUCCUAAUAAUGCGACCCGUUAACGCCCCGCUUCGUCGGCCUCGAAAACAUGGCGUGGUUUGCCGCAAUGUCGCCCUGAAUCCCAAUUCGGAAUAGUGCUUUAAAAGCUAUUCGAUGGCGUCUUGGAGUUGGCUGAGCAACGAAACGGGGGAGGGAUUUGGUUGAUUGGGGGAUCAAGAAAAGAGGAGGCUAAAUCCCUUCUCCCACCAAAAUUUUAGGUGAUCGAGCACAACAUGAAAACACACUGAAGACGUGCCUCUUCCGCAUCAACCUCCAACAUCUUUUGGGCAUAUGAUGGACAUGGCGAUGUAUGUCCAGGUCAACUUCAGGCACUACACGUGGGGGAGAGAAGGGAAAAGAAGGAAACACCAGUCCAAGAGAAGAAAUUUUUUGAUCCUGCCAUCUAUCCAUUUACAAAUAUAAAUUCUAGGAAGGAGAACGCCAACCUUCACAAACUGCUGUUCGUAUGCUCUGUCUUCCCAUUCUUACCUUUCUCAUGGCCUGUGAUAAGUUUGACUGUGUCCCCUACCUUGACAUGUAUUUUAGGCAGCACAAGUAAGACUACUAAGCUGCAACAGCAUAAUUCACCAAGCCUAAUGCUAAUUGGUAAUCUAAUUCACUAUAGUUCAUGAAGGAAAUUUAGUAUAGUCAUCUUCAACAUAUAACAUGAAGUACAACUAAUGCUAACCCUCAUUAUUAUAUUGCAUGGCUGAUCCAUCUAUUUAAUCUGCUAGAAGAGAA